rnacentral:tRNA from 1 species
UAGGACAUAGCCUAGUGGUAGAGCACUUGCUUCGCAUGCAUGAGGCCUUGGAUUCUACCCCCAGUACCCUGA